GUAGUCCACGCCCUAAACGAUGGAUACUAGGCGUAAGAGGUAUCGACCCCUCUUGUGCCGCAGCUAACGCAUUAAGUAUCCCGCCUGGGGAGUACGGCCGCAAGGUUGAAACUCAAAUGAAUUGACGGGGACCCGCACAAGCGGUGGAGCAUGUGGAUUAAUUCGAUACUAACCGAAGAACCUUACCCAGGUUUGACAUCGAUUGAAAAGCCCAGAGAUGGGCUCCUCCCCCACAAGGGGACAUGAAGACACUUGUUGCAUGGCUGUCGUCAGCUCGUGCCGUGAGGUGUACGGUUAAGUCCGCCAACGAGCGCAACCCUCGUCCUGUGUUACCAGCGAGUAAAGUCGGGGACUCACAGGAGACCGCCGGUGUAAGCCGGAGGAAGGUGAGGAUGACGUCAAGUCAGCAUGGCAGUUACGCCUGGGGCUUCACACAUGCUACAAUGGGCGAAACAGAGGGCAGCAAAACCGCGAGGUGGAGCCAAUCCCAAAAAUACGCCCCCAGUUCAGAUUGCAGUCUGCAACUCGACUGCAUGAAGGCGGAAUCGCUAGUAAACGCAGGUCAGCUAUACUGCGUUGAAUA
rnacentral:rRNA from 1 species